CCCCAACGUUUAUUAUUUUAUAGAUCUGUAUGAAAAAUAAACAUUUAACCUUUAUAGACAUUGUCCUAACAACUCAUGUGACUUAUUCUCUUAGGAGGCAAAUCCUAACUUCCACUUAGGUAACGUUUUCAUCUUGGCAUGACUGAGUGAACAUUUUGACUUCCGUGGAACGUUAGGUUUCUCCCCUAAAUAACUACCACCUUGAUACCUCUCGUUGGCCUUUCUCAAAGUCCUGGGUGGGGUCGUGUUCACUAUUAGGGCACAGCGUAGCAAAAACGUUUCGCAACGGAAAACAAAAAAAACAUUUGUUCUUAUUGGACAUGUUCAGGUAGGUACUUGUACCGUUUGACUCAGUUUCAAGACAAUGUAUCCCUAUUGAACAGGACCCAGUGAACUCAGUGCACGGUGGUUAUACACUACUACACUCAUCUUCUACAGCGACACAUAACUCAGUGCACGGUGGUUAUACACUACUACAUAGCACAACAAGCUGGUUAUACUCCUAGUAUUACCUACACUGUCUAUGCAUCCCCAAUGGCACCCUAAUACCUAUGGGCGCUGGUCCAAUGUAGUGCACUGUAAUAGGGAACAGGGUAUCAUUGGGCCCUGGUCCAAAGUAGUGCACUAUACAGGGAAUAGGGUAUCAUUGGGCCCUGGUCCAAAGUAGUGCACUAUAUAGGGAACAGGGUAUCAUUGGGCCCUGGUCCAAAGUAGUGCGCUAUACAGGGAAUAGGGUAUCAUUGGGCCCUGGUCCAAAGUAGUGCACUAUACAGGGAAUAGGGUAUCAUUGGGCCCUGGUCCAAAGUAGUGCACUAUACAGGGAAUAGGGUAUCAUUGGGCCCUGGUCCAAAGUAGUGCACUAUACAAGGAAUAGGGUGUCAUUAUUAUUAACACUUUGUUCACUAUGCAUCGUUAAGCCUAUAAACAACGCUAUGACACCAGUACGACGCCUGUCUUAAAUGCUUAUGACAGGUCAUGACACUUCAUAACAAGUUAUAACCUUCACGCCCAGAGAGGAACUGGAUCAUAGAAUCAGAAGGUAUGAUCUUCACAUCCAGAGAGGAACUGGAUCAUAGAAUCAGAAGGUAUGAUCUUCACGCCCAGAGAGGGACUGGAUCAUAGAAUCAGAAGGUAUGAUCUUCACGCCCAGAGAGGAACUGGAUCAUAGAAUCAGAAGGUAUAAUCUUCACGCCCAGAGAGGGACUGGAUCAUAGAAUCAGAAGGUAUGAUCUUCACGCCCAGAGAGGGACUGGAUCAUAGAAUCAGAAGGUAUGAUCUUCACGCCCAGAGAGGAACUGGAUCAUAGAAUCAGAAGGUAUAAUCUUCACGCCCAGAGAGGGACUGGAUCAUAGAAUCAGAAGGUAUAAUCUUCACGCCCAGAGAGGGACUGGAUCAUAGAAUCAGAAGGUAUAAUCUUCACGCCCAGAGAGGAACUGGAUCAUAGAAUCAGAAGGUAUGAUCUUCACGCCCAGAGAGGAACUGGAUCAUAGAAUCAGAAGGUAUGAUCUUCACGCCCAGAGAGGAACUGGAUCAUAGAAUCAGAAGGUAUGAUCUUCACGCCCAGAGAGGAACUGGAUCAUAGAAUCAGAAGGUAUGAUCUUCACGCCCAGAGAGGAACUGGAUCAUAGAAUCAGAAGGUAUGAUCUUCACGCCCAGAGAGGAACUGGAUCAUAGAAUCAGAAGGUAUG